ACUUUAAUUUUAAGUGCAGUUGUGAGUUCCGUGUCAAAUGUUUGAUUAUCCGUCUUAUUUAAAAUUUUUAUUGUUAGUAUCUUUGUUGUUAUUAGAUGAUAAGACAUAAAUAAUACUUUAUGCAUGAUUUAUUCUUUUAAUUUUUUCAUGAAAUUUUUAAAUAUGACGAAUGGUCAAACGUUGCGCACGAAAAAUCAUGACUACACUUAAAAUGGGACUU
rnacentral:pre_miRNA from 1 species